CCAUCACUUACCUCAGAAAUAGAAUUUCGAUGAAAAUUAUGAAAUAACAUCGAGAAUGCCACCGUCAUAACUCACAAGCUUGAAAUAAAAAUUUAACAUCGACCACUAAUACAAAUAUACAAUUUUAUUGCAUUUAUCUAUUCAACAAUUAUUAGUCAAAUAACUAAAAAAAAUGCACAAAAUUCAUACGUAUUUAAUUUUCUUUAAGAUGAAACACAAAAAGUGGGCAAUAUGUGAGGCACACAUCACCGGCACAAAUCAAAAUCCAUCACUACAUGUAAAUCUCCACAUCCUAACAUCUUUAAUAGAAUCAAGAAAACCCCAGAACAAUAGAUUCACAUCCUGCCAUCCAUUUACUGCAAAAAAAAAAAAUCACCCUUCCAAAAAGGCACAAAAAUAGUAAUAAAUUUCAAGUGCGCCACCAUGUUUCAGAAUUUCAGGCAUGGGUUCAUCUCAAAACCAAAAGAUACAACUACAAGAUUCGUAAAAUUUAAUGAUUAUGUAGAAAUUCAUUGAAAAAAUCGAAUUCAAUGUUUACCAAAAUCAGAAUUACCUGUAAAAUAAUGAACUCGAUGAAGAGAACAAGAAUUCAGCUGGGUUUCAAACAUUCUCCAAAAAGAUGAAAAAUUUCAGGAAAAAACAAGAAGUCUAGGUCCUAGAGCGUUUGUUUUUUCGUUGGAUUCAAGAACUAUU
rnacentral:lncRNA from 1 species